rnacentral:rRNA from 1 species
CGUGAGCAAUCUGCCUUGGAGUGGGGAAUAACGGCUGGAAACAGCCGCUAAUACCGCAUGACGCGUCUGGGAGGCAUCUCUCUGGACGCCAAAGAUUUAUCGCUCUGAGAUGAGCUCGCGUCUGAUUAGCUAGUUGGCGGGGUAACGGCCCACCAAGGCGACGAUCAGUAGCCGGACUGAGAGGUUGGCCGGCCACAUUGGGACUGAGACACGGCCCAGACUCCUACGGGAGGCAGCAG